rnacentral:rRNA from 1 species
GACGAACGCUGGCGGCGUGCCUAACACAUGCAAGUCGAGCGAGUGGAUCUCCUUCGGGAGUGAAGCUAGCGGCGGACGGGUGAGUAACACGUGGGCAACCUGCCUCAUAGAGGGGAAUAGCCUUUCGAAAGGAAGAUUAAUACCGCAUAAGAUUGUAGCUUCGCAUGAAGUAGCAAUUAAAGGAGCAAUCCGCUAUGAGAUGGGCCCGCGGCGCAUUAGCUAGUUGGUGAGGUAACGGCUCACCAAGGCGACGAUGCGUAGCCGACCUGAGAGGGUGAUCGGCCACAGUGGGACUGAGACACGGCCCAGACUCCUACGGGAGGCAGCAGUGGGGAAUAUUGCACAAUGGGGGAAACCCUGAUGCAGCAACGCCGCGUGAGUGAUGACGGCCUUCGGGUUGUAAAGCUCUGUCUUCAGGGACGAUAAUGACGGUACCUGAGGAGGAAGCCACGGCUAACUACGUGCCAGCAGCAGCCGCAG